UUCAAAUACUUACAUUACAGAAUCACAUUAUGAUUAAAGCAGAAACGGCUCGACUUGAACCAGCAGCAGACGGAAGAUAUGGACGAACAACAAGAAGAAGUUAUGGAGGUCCCAACAACUGAACCUAUGGAAGUAGAAGAAUCGUUUACAGCCGAAACCCGAUACGAUGUGCCAGUUCCGGUCAUGGAGUCCUCCAUCUCAGACGAUGCCGACGUUAGUGUCUUCUGCGACGAAGAACCCGUAGUGGUGUAUACGCAGGUAGAAGCUGGUACCUCCCGUGGCAAGUCCAAGUUGUUUGACAACCAAGGGUUUAGUUAUACAAUUAAGACAGAGAAGAAAACUACGAUUUGGAGGUGUUCCAAAAGAAGCGGACCAACACGAUGUCCGGCAACAGUAAUCCAAGAUGGUGAUACAUACCAACCAGGCUUAAAGAACCAUCUUCACCCAGCAGAACCCGGUAUACAGACGACUACCAAGAUAAAAGUUACAGCAAAGCAUGAAGCCAAAGGAAAUGUUUUUACCAAGUCAUGUUCCUCAAUAGCGGAGAGAGUUUUAUCCAGUGUCGGUUCUGCAGAAGAACCCAUUCAUAGCAGACCACCCAUGGCAGCACUUGUAAGGUCGCUACAAAGAACCUGACAGACUCUGCGACCAAAAGAUCCCACUGACGUGUCGUCAAGCCUUGACGAAGAUUUCAUCGAUCAUAGUGCACCGGGAUUUUAUCAAAAAAGAGUAAAAGUUGGGGAAAGGCGCCAUAACAUUUUUUGUACUGAUAGACAGAUGCAACUACUCGCACGCGCAAAAACUUGGUAUAUGGAUGCAACUUUUCGGGUGGUGAACAAGCCAUGGUCUCAGCUGUUUUCCAUCCACGCCUUCAUUAAGACUGGAGAGACCACCCGACAGUUACCAUUGGUGUUUUGUGUAAUGUCGGGUAAAAGCCAAGACGACUAUUAUAAGUCAGUGAUGAUAUGUGACUCUUUCCACCUUCCAGCAAUAAUUAUUGAGAAUUUACCAAGGACUCCAUUGGCAUUGAAUCGAAGAAAAACAGUUUCAAUAUUGGAUGUAUAUGCAAAUCACCCAGAAAAAGAUCAUGUAAUAACAAAAGAAAUUAUAAAAGAAAAAAAUGGAAGAAGAAAUGGCUGGAAAAAAUGAUGAUAGGGCAGCUUUUUCUUGUUACCCACCUCGGAAGAUCAAGUUGGAAAGGGCUAUUGAUAUUGUGGAGACGUUUUCUCACAGAUCUUGCUUAUCAGACAAAGACUAUGUAAGUACCAUGCAUAUUUGCUUUUUAAAUCAGGAACUGGUUCUAUACACUUGGUGGGGGGGUUGGAUGGACGUUAAA